CUGUGUAUGGCAGGGGGCGGAGGCAGGGAGAAGGAGUGAGAGAGUGCUCUGGUGUCUCUUCUAAUAAAGACACCAAUCCUAUUGGAUCAGUGUUGCACCCUUACAAUCUCAUUUAAACUUAAUUACUUCCAUAUAAGUCUCAUCUCCAAAUACAGCCACACUGAGGGUUAAGGAUUCUACAUAUGAAUUUUGAGAGGCAAAAACUCUCAGUCUACAACACUAGUUUUUUUUUUUUUUUUUAAUUUUGUAGAUUGUUCUUUUGGUGUCCUAUUUAAAAAAUUAUUUCCUAACCCAAGGUCACAAAAGUUUCCUUCUGUAUUUUAUUGUUUUAGAUUUUACAUUUAGGUCUAUGAUCCAUUUUGAUUUAAUUUUCAUAUCUCUGUGAGAUUCUCUAUACAGGCUGACCCCUAUGGCCUACUAAGAAUGAAUAAUUAAAACUCUAGGAAUCCCAGGGUUUGUUGGAGUUCAGGGUUGUCGCUGAGUGGUGGAAAUAUUGUUCUCAACCAAAAAAAAAAAAAAAAAUGUGGGGAUUACAUGCCAGUACCAUCCACCCCUGCAUUAGAAGUUUUCAUCGAAGAGCUUCAUUUCACAAGGUCUUUGAUGGAACAACAGAAGAGACAGGGCUCAUCUGACUGAUCCAAGGAGCAAGGACACCCAGGACUUAUCUUUAGAUCUCACCUCACCUGCCUGAGCAAGCCAGUGAGAAUGGGAUGUAAGGAGUCAGCUCUAGAGGUCUAAAGAAUCAUCUAACAGGGAAAGCUGAAUGUAUGGACAUUCUGCGGUCUUCUGCCACCCAGAAGUACAGGGCAAGAUGUCCAGAAUGUGGAUCCUAUCUCUGACCUUAUCCCAUUUUUUCAGUUAUUCUCAGCAGUCACUUUUUUGCUUGUAAGUAUAGAGACGCUCACCUUACUCAUAAUACAAUCUAAAGAUCUUCCAUGACCUCUCUGACCUGCAGGAUCUCCCUCUAAUGCCUCUCUUACCCUUCCCUUCUCUUGAGCUUUGCUUGACAUUCCUGGUAUCUCUGCCAAGGCCACUCUCCUCCCUGAGUACUGCUUGGCUCACUCCUUCAUUUAACUUUCACUUUGACUCAAGUUACCAUGUUUUCAGAGAUAUUUACAUAUACUUCACAAGUAUUCCUACUUAUGAUGGUUUUUUGUGUAUCAACUUGACAGGGCAAAGGGAUGUCUAGAUAGCUGGUAAAACAUUGUUUCUGGUUAUGUUUGUGAGAGUGUUUCUGGAAGACGUUAGCAUUUGAAUGACUAGACAGAGCACAGAAGAUCCACCUUCACCAAUGUGGGUGACCAUCAUCUAAUCCCUUGAGGGCUAGAAUAGGACGACGACAACAACAACAACAACAAAAGAAACCACAGCAAAUUUACUCUUUCUGUUUGACUCGGACACUCUGUCUCCUCCAGCUUGGGGACACUGGUGCUCCUGGUUCUCAGGCCUUUGAAGCCAAACCAGCAGGGUUUACAACAUUAGCUCCCCUGGUUUUUGGACCUUUGGACUUAGGCUGAAUUAUGGCAGUGGCUUUCCUGGUUCUCCACUUGGGGAUGGCAGAUCAUGGGACUUCUUGGCCUCCAUAAUUAAGUGAGCCAAUUCCCAAGCUGAAGAAUAAAAUUCAAUAGAAA
rnacentral:lncRNA from 1 species